UACCAGCUCUCCGAGUGGUAGGGAUGAUUAUUGGGCUUAAAGCGUCCGUAGCCGGCUUAGCAAGUCUCCUGUUAAAUUCAGCGACCUAAUCGUUGAGCCGCGGGAGAUACUACUAGGCUAGGAGGCGGGAGAGGUCGACGGUACUUUCGGGGUAGGGGUGAAAUCCUAUAAUCCCGGGAGGACCACCAGUGGCGAAGGCUGUCGACUAGAACGCGCUCGACGGUGAGGGACGAAAGCUGGGGGAGCGAACCGGAUUAGAUACCCGGGUAGUCCCAGCUGUAAACUAUGCGGGCUAGGUGUUGGGGUGGCUACGGGCCACUUCAGUGCCGCAGGAAAGCCAUUAAGCCCGCCGCCUGGGGAGUACGGCCGCAAGGCUGAAACUUAAAGGAAUUGGCGGGGGAGCACCACAAGGCGUGAAGCUUGCGGUUC
rnacentral:rRNA from 1 species